GGCAGAGACUAUAACUAUUAGAGUUAAUGUGAGAAUUUUGGUAUUCAUUUUAAUAUCUCACUUUUAUGAUAUCAAACAGUUCACAGAUUUAUAAAUACACGAUUCCAGUAACUCAGGAACUGAAGAAAUACCUUGUACAUUAGCUAAACCAUAUUUUUAGUAUGAGUACCUCAAAAUAACCAUGCUUGGGGCAGCCCUGGUGGCUCAGCGGUUUAGCCACCGGGGCCUGAUCUUGAAGACCCAGGAUCGAGUUCCACGUCGGGCUCCCUGCAUGGAGCCUGCUUCUCCCUCUCGCCUGUGUCUCUGUCUCUUCUCUCUCUCUCUCAUGAAAAAAUAAAUAAAAUCUUUAAAAAAAAAAAAAAAAGAACUUUAAAAUAGCUAUGCUUAUUGGUUGGUCAGAAGGGAAAAAAGAUGACCGUGGAGUCAAAGAAUAAAGUUUCUUUGCCUCUAAUGAAUUUAUAAACCAAGAAAUUUCUGACACAGGAAACACAGAAGAGUUUUUGUCCGUGUAGCAGAAGAAAAGGCAAGAUAAAGAUCCAGAAGGAAACAGUGACUUGAGAUAGUAAAUGUUUUUAAAUGAUGGCAGAAGAGUCACAUGUUCUACCAACUGAGCCAAAUUCUGCUUUUGUGUUUUAAAAAAAAGAAUAAAUAUUUUAAGUUGUAUAGAACUGUUUUAUUCUAAAAAUAGUAAAUGUCCAUUACAUAGAAUUUAUAAAAUACAGAAAAGUAUAUAGAUAACAAGAUAAAAUUCAUUUGGAAUUCCAUCAGUCAGCAAUCAUCACUUUUAAUAUUUCAAUGUAUUUUGUAGUUUGUCAAAAUUAUAAUAAUCUUAAUGUCAGAGACAACACUGACAGCUAAAUAUGACUUUAAUGUGGGCUGUGUGUUCUCCAUGCACGUUACCAUUUAAUACUUACCAUGGCCCAUGAAGGAGGGAUUACAGGUCUUCCACUUUUUGUCCACAUUUAGAAACAGAAAAGCUCUGAAAACCAAAGCAGAACCAAAAGAGUUUGGAUCAGAGAAGUAUCUGAUCUGAAAUGACAUGAGGCUUUUUUUUUUAAUUUAUUUCACUAAAUAUGAAUACUACUGGGUUUUGCGACAUAAACCUAUAUGUUUGUUUAUAGAACGUUCCCUCAGAGCCCAUGGGAAUGGUCACUAUGUAUCUAUGUGUAUGUAAUAUACAUCAUGUGUAAUAUAUAGAAAAGGUUAGUAUAUAACCUAUAUAGUAUAUAGAUACAUAGAUACAAUUAUAUAUUUUCCUAUAUGUUAUAUGGAAAAUUAAGUAUAUAAUUAAUAUAUAUUAUAUGUAAUAUAUAUUAUAUGUAAUAUAUAGAAAAUAACUUCUCUAUGUAGAAAAUAGUCAUAUAUAUGUAUAAUUACAUAAUUAAUUUUCUAUAAAGUAUGUUGGAAAAUAUAUAAUUAUAUAUAUUAUAUAUGACAUAUAGAAAAUAACUUUUUCACUAUAGUGAAACCCAUUCAUAUAUAUAUAUAUUUAUAUAUUCAUUUGGCUCCAGGAUUUUUGGAUAAAGGAUGUAAAAAUGUAUCUGAGUUUUACUGAAGAAGAUAUAGGGACAUUAAAUAACUUGCUUAAGAGUUCAUGGCUAGUAGAAAGUGGAGCCAAGACUCAAUCAAAUAGACCUCUCUGACUCUAGAAUUUGAAUGCUGAAAGCAUUGCUUCAUUUAAGUAAAAUUGCUGUUGUUGAGAAACAGUAACUGUGUAUCCACCUUAAGGAGCCUGAGCAGAAUUUUCAGAUAUUGAUAAUUUGGUAACCAUCCUCCAGUUAACACUAAGUAUAAUAAUUUUGAAGCAUUAUUCAUCAAGAAUAAGAAAAUUCUGAUUUAUUAAACUUUUGAGCCUGAAUUUAAUGAUUUAAUUUAACUGUGCUUUAAGUUGAAGAGAUAAACUUUAAUUAAUGUUAAAUGCAAUUGUAAAAUCAGCUACCAUCAAUUGCAAGGUACAAAAUAAUAUUUUGAUGUAUCUUUAUAAUUUUAAAAAUCAUACAUGUAAUAUUUUACUGUAUCUUGCUUAUUAGGCAUCCAGGUAAAAUUUUUAAAUAAUAAUACAAAUAUAGAUCCUGGACAGAAAAGAAGCAAUUUUCUAUCUUACUAUUGAUAAAAUUCAGUAUUUAUAUAAAUAUAAAAUAGUAUUUUGCUUUGUGCUUUCUAGGAGUAUAAAAGAUUAUUAAUAAACCAUAAUUUUUGGUAAGACUUUAUAUUUUCUAUAUUUACUGGAUAUUAAGCCAUUAUAAUGUACUCUUAGUGUACAAUAAUCAGAGAUAGAUUUGCUCACUUUAUGGAUCUCAUGACUUCAGUUGCUGCCCAGGAUUGGCAGCUGCUUUUCUGGGGCAUGUACCUCAUUGGAUACUUACUCUCUGAUGAAAGUAGUAUUAAAAAAAAAUGGAAGCAGCUUCCACUGUUUACUGGCUUAUAUUUUUUUCUUAAACUGUGCAUUUGUCAGAAUUUUGGGAAAGCAAGCAAGAAUCAGUAACCUACUCUUCUUUGUGCUUUUGUUUUAGCAGCCCCAUUUUAAUUGCCUCCAUCAAAAUAAUUCUCCUAAAGCCUUCCAAAAUCCUUUCUUCCAACUUAUUUACAAAACAUAAUUUUGACUUAGCUUGAAAUAAAUAGCAUACCUUUGACCCACCUAAAAAGAAAUCUUUGGCAUUGGCUCUUUUUAGAAAUGCAGUAAUCCCUCAAUCUAUCGAACUAAUGUUUAUUUCAGGCUGACAAUGUGUGAGGUAACAUGGAAGGAAGUAAAAAGAUAAAUAAUGCUUUCAAGAAGUUCAGAGAAGGGCAACCCCGGUGGCUCAGCGGUUUAGCACCGCCUUCAGCCUGGGGCGUGAUCCUGGAGACCCGGGAUCGAGUCCCAUGUCGGGCUCCCUGCAUGGAGUGUGCUUCUCACUCUCUCAUUCAUGAAUAAAUAAAUAAAAUCUUUUUUUUUUAAUUUUUAUUUAUUUAUGAUAGUCACACACACAGAGAGAGAGAGAGAGAGAGGCAGAGACACAGGCAGAUGGAGAAGCAGGCUCCAUGCACCGGGAGCCCGACGUGGGAUUCGAUUCAGGGUCUCCCGGAUCGCGCCCUGGGCCAAAGGCAGGCGCCAAACCGCUGCGCCACCCAGGGAUCCCAAAUAAAUAAAAUCUUUAAAAAAAAAAAAGUUCAGAGAAGAAAAGGAUUCCUUUCACUGGCAGUAUAGUAGUAGUAGAGUAGUAAUAAUAAUAGUAGUUGUAGUAUAGAUAGUAGCAGCAACAGUAUCACAGUGCUCUCUCUGUGCCUAACACCAUUCUAAUACUUUAUAUUAAUUCAUUGAAUCCUUGUAUCACCCCUAUGAAAUAGGUACAAUUAUGAUCUCCACUUUACAGAAGAAGAUACACUGAGGUACGUAGGGUUUAGUCAUUUGCCAAAGUCAUACAACUGGUGGAACUAGAACUGGUAGUCUGGCUUGAGAAUUCAUACCAGUCUGUGUUUUCAAAUGAGAGGAGGCAUGAACUAUGCUUGUGAUGAGAGAUAGGGAAGAUCAUCCAAAGAGAGGCAUCUUUGGGAGCAAUUCUGCUUGACAGUCAUAUAAAAAAUACAUAUUGUGUAGAAAGCAGUACAGAAAUGGUAAGAUACAGACACUGCACACAAGGAACUUAGAGCAAGUUUACAACCUUCCUGAUGAUCUAUUUGAGGCCUCUUUGAUAAAAGAGUAUAAUUGCUAUUGGAUGGUUUAUUUUACAGUUUUGUGGUUCAUUGCAUUUCUCAUUGAACAACUGACAAAUCAAAAAUACCUUGCCAACAUUUUUUUCUUUAAUAUUUGCUGAGCACCUCCUAACUAAUACUUGCUGAGUGUCAGGUAUUAUGUGGGUGUCACAAGAACAGUAAUAAGCAAGAAAGACCACUCCUCCCCUCACAGAAUUUGCAAUUUGGGGAGAAAAUAGGUAAACAAGUAUUAAAAUGUGAUAAGUGCUAUGAUAGGAGAAGUCAGGGACUAUGAGAGUAUGUAUGUAUGUAGAGACGAAUUCUAAGGUACCUCUGGAGUGCUAAUACCUGAAAGAUAAGGUAUCAGUUAGGAAAAAGGGGUACGGGGAGCAGAGAGUAGAGAAAAUAUAUUCCAGGCUAAGGGAACACCAUGCACAGAGGCCCAGCACAAAGAAAUAACCUGGUUCAUUCAAUGAACUUUAAAAGCAAGUGGAGUGAGUGACUUGAUCAGGUCUGUAGACUCCUUCCUUACUAAAUGACUUUGAGGGAGUUACUCUUCCUCUUUAAGCUUUAGUGACUCCAUUUAAACAGAAAGAGAUAUAAAGUAUCUCCUUCACCUGUAUAGAUAUGGAUGAGCUAUCUACUAGGUAGUAAGUGACAGAGUAGACAGGAAACAUUUUCUGAAUUCCUGCCCAAAAUCUUUUUAAUAUGACACACAAACUAGGAAAAUCAAAUUGUAAAAGAAACACAUCUUGGUGUAGAUUGCCCUAAGGCAUCUGAUAUAUAUUCACUAAUGGAAAGUCUUCUGAUUUAGCAUAACUAUGUCAUAUCUAUAAUAAACUUAGGUAAUAACUCAGGAGUGUCUAAUAUACACACUAGGAGGAUUAUUCAUUUUUUAAAAAUAAAUGAUAAUACUUACUCCUCAAAUGAAUCUUCAUAGUCAAACCAAAUAUAACUGACUUAUUGAAUGAGCUAGAGUCUGUCAGCUACAAGCAGAAAGCAGUAUUACAGGCCCUGAUUAGCACACUUUUGCUGUAUAAAAUCAUUGUUUCCUUUUUUUAGAUAAAAUUUCAGGAUCAGCCCAUAGUUCUUCCAGCCACUUUCAGGUACUAAAAAGUCUAGACCACUAGAAGAAAACAUAGGAGAGCAUUUUCUUAAGUCACAAAAAAUAAUUAUAUAUAGAAAGAUUAAUCAGUUAGACUUCAUUAAAAUUAAAAACACCUGGAGGCACCUGCAGUAGUUGAGCAUCUGCCUUUGGUCAGGUGGUGAUCCUAGGGUCCUGGGAUCGAGUCCUGCAUCAGGCUCCAUGGAGGGAGCCUGCUUCUCCCUCUCCUGUGUCUCUGCCUCUUUCUGUGUGUCUCUCAUGAAUAAAUAAGUAAAAUCUUUUUAAAAAAUUAAAAACACCUAUUCAACAGAAACCGUCAUUAGGAGAGUAAUAGGCAAAUCAUAAGAGUUGGAGAAAAUAUUUAGAAUAAGUACAUUAUUUGUCAGAUAUCUAACAUGUAUCCAGGCUAUAUAAGUAGCUCAUACAAAUCAAUAAAAAAUAUAGGUAAUAAUAAGAAACAGGCAAAUAUUGACUAGACAUUUCAUAAAAGAGGAUAUCCAAGUCUUCAAAAAGCAUAUGGAAAAGGACUCAUCAUUAGUCAUCAGGAAAAUGCAAUUUAAAGCCACAAUGAGAUACCACUGUAUAUGUAUAAGAAUGGCUAAAAUUGGAAAAGAUUGUCAAUACCAAGUAUUAAUGCAGAUGUCUAGUAACUGAGUUCUCAUACAUUGCUGGUGGGAGUGGAAAAUGGUACAGGUACUUUGGGAAGCUGUUUGGCAAUAUCUCCUAAUGCUAGACAUAUGCAUAUCCUGUGACUUAGCAAUUCUAUCUCAGAUUUUUACUCAACAGAAAUGAGUGCAUAUGUCCACCAGAAGACAUGUUGAAGAAGGCUUUAGCAACUUUUUUUUCCAUAGAUCAAAAUGGAAAAAUUCAAAUGUCCAUCAUCAGGAGAAUGGGUAAAUUCUGAUAGAGUGUUCAUACAAUAGAACACAAAAUAUGAAUGGAAAAGACAAGCUACUGCCCUACCCAAAAACAUAUUUAACUCUCACAGACAUAAGAUUGAGCAAAUGAAGCCAGACACAAAGAGUUCAUAUAUAUGAAGGUCAAGGUAAGAAAAAUUCAACAAUGGUGAUAAAAGUGGAAAUAGUGGUAACUUCAGCAGGGUGGAUAUUGACUUGGAGGAAGCAUGAGAAAUCUUUCUAGAUUACUAGAAAUGUUUCCUAUUUAUAUCUGUAUGGGGGUUACCCAGGUAUGUGUAUAUAUAUGACAUGCAUGUAAAAAUUUAUGUUUGUUAUACCUCAAUAAACAGAAAAGGCCUAGUCCAGUCUGAUGUUAAAACUUCAGUCUUGUAUUCAAUUAAAAGCUUCCCCUGGCCCCCAUCAACUCACAGUCAAUAAUCAGCGGUAGGGAAAGGAGAAUUGUAUAGGUUUCUUCUCUUAUCGUUGGCCUACCUGUUCUCCCAUUCUUGAGCCACUGUUUUUGUCCCUCUAGGAAAAAGCACAAAGGGAAGGAGGGACUAGAGAAGAAUGGAAAAAGCCUGAUGCAUCUUGGGUUGUAAUCAGGCUUUGCCCUCUGCGUAUGGCGCGUCUCCAAAAUCUAGCUCUUUCUCUUGCAGGAGUGCUUCUGUGGGUUUUUGAGUGAUCCUACUUCACUAAAAACAUCCUAAUUCAACAUUGCCUGGUAUGGGCAAUGAUCCUCUUACAACUCUAGCGACAGUUCUUGGCUUUUAAUAAUCUACUUCUCUGGGUGGAGUCCUAGGCAGAAUGACUCAAGACGGGUUUUCCUCCUUGAGUCAAAUGACAUCUUUGCCUGACCAGUGGAAAACUGAUAGUUGGCUCCAUUGUAGCUUCUCUCUUCUCCUAUCCUCUCAGCUUCAAGCUUCUCUAGGAAAACACUCUCCGGUAUUCCCUUUUCCCAUUUCCCAAAACCCAGGGGAUACAUUCUCCAACUGGUUCUCUGAAGAUUUCCUCACUUACUUUGGGGUGGAACCACCUUAGAGGAGCAAGUGGAUAAUUAUGUGGUCUAAUGAUAACUCUCCCCAAAGAAGUUGCUUCUAUCAAUCUUACUUCUGCCUUUCAUUUAUAGCUUGAAAGGGGACAAUAAACCUAUGGUAGAGCACAGUUUUUCUUUUAAGCUAGAGGAUAAAUGAAUGGUUCCUGCCCAAAGAAAAGUACUCAUUUUGUCUGUUCCACCUUCUUUGCCAGUUGCUUGAGGCUUUUCUGAAUAAAAAGAAGCAUUCUGGAAUAUUAAGUUCUGUGCAGUUGUUUUUAUUUUCUCGGUAUUCUACUUCAAAAAUAUUUCAGGUAGACAACAAAGAUUGAGAAAUAAAGAUUUUAUCAUAAACAUACAUUCUCACACAUAAAGAUUAUUGGGACCUUCUUGGGUGACUGUGAAUAAUUCUGUGAGCCUCUGUGUCCACAUCUAAAAAUAACAGAUAGAUAUAACUUGCUUUAUAUUAUUCCCAUGAGGAUAAAAUAUAAAUGAAUUAUACAUAAACAGAAAUAAACACAUGCAAGUAUAGAUACAUGCAUACAUACAUACUACACAUAUAUUACUCAGAACAAAGUAAGUGCACAAUAAAUAUUAGCUCCUUUUUUCUUUCUUCCUGGACUAUGUGACCGCACAUUCCCUUUUUUUUCCCAGUAAAGCAACUUUCUUUAGUUAUAGGCUUCUGAGAAUAGAGAGGCACAGGGCUCUAGGAUUCCUUAUAAAGAGUGUAAGUUUACUCUUCAGAAACUGUCAAUAAAGGUGUGCUAUGUUUGAAAUUAAAAUUUACCAGAUGUGGUUAAAUAAGCAUCAGCCUAGUUAUAAAUACCUGGAUUCAAAUCCCAGCUCCACAACUUAUAGCCAUUCAUUUAUUCAACCAAUUUAUUGAGGGCUUACUUUGUACCAGGUUCUGUUGUAGUAACUGAGGAUAUGGGGCGGGCGGCGGAGAGACAAACAAGAGCCCAGUCUUGUGCAUCCCAACCUUGGGGAGCUUUGUUGGGCAGUGGAGAUGGGUGAAAGGCAGGGGAAAUAGACAACAAGCAAAUUAUUAAAUAUAAUGUCAAGUGAUGAAGGAAUAGAAAGUGGUAGGGGAGGGUAGAUAGGUGUGUGUGUGUGUGUGUGUAUUGUAUGGAGGGUUGUCAGGAAAGGUCUUAUUGACCUUUCCCUGAAUCGAGGGAGGGCUAUCUAGAAGGUAAAGAUGAUCUUGUAAUAUUGCAGAAGCCAAAGGAACGAAGGACGGAGAAGGAGGAAGUCAAUGCUGUUGAGUGAUAGAGAAGCCCUCAGUAGUCAUUGGACCACUGGACAAAUUAUUUGCCUUCCAGGAGCAAUAGUCAGUAAGAGCUGAGGAUUAAGUGAGAUAAUUUAUAUAAAGCACUUGUCACAUAGUAGACAAGUGACUGAAGAUUUUCUUCACAUAUCACUUGUAUUAUAAAUACUUAAAAAUUCAUAGUGAAAAAUAUUUUUAAAUAGUCUCAAUUCAGCUUUGCACUGAAUUUGCAAAAUGUUCAAGUGACUGUAUGGAAGUCAGUACGUGAAACCGUAACAGUUGUGGAACUGAGGCUUUGUCUUGUUUAACGGACUGUAUUAGUAACAAGUAGUUAAUUUGAUGUGUUGUGUCAUGGGUCACGGGUCAUGUGAAUUGCAAUGUAUUUGAACAUGUUGGAAUUUUUCACAUUCAAACUGGCAGAAAUCAAUUGUGUAAAAAAUAAGAAAAUAAGGAAUACUUGAUUUUCCUGAAAAUUGUAUGAUUUUCCAGAAAAUCAAGUAUUUCAGCAUUCAUUAGAGUCUCUUUUGCUAAAUUACAGUUUCUAUGAAUGAUCAACAAAUAACUCCCAUUUUAAAUCUAAGGAAUAAGGAAAUUGAUUUGGUUCUCAUCCAUUUCAGGGAUUCCCUAAUGUCUUUGCAUUGAUUUUUAAAUACACUUUCAAUUUUACAGAAUUUGGCUGAAUAAUAUGACAUGUGAACUCUCCUGUAUUGUAAUGACAAAAUGAGACUGUCACACAUUCUUUAAAGUAAUACAAAAUUAUGAUAUCUUUGGCUACCUCACAAUAUUUCCGUGUCAUCUAAAUUAUUUCAUAGAGAUCAGGAAUUAAAAAUUCUACCCAGAAAGUGUCGAAGAAUGAGGAUAUACAUUCAAGCAUGUGUUUUGAAAUUUACAUAAAUUUAAAGGAUAUGUUUUUAUGCAUUGUCAUCUCCUCCAGAAGAAAUCUAUAUGCUUUUUUGAAAACACUACUCUUACUCUUAGGUGUUUAAAAAGUAUCUCAAACACCUCACAGUAAAGGAAAUAAAGUCAUUUUACUUAAAGUAAAUCAUUUUUCCAAAUUUUCUUGAGCACAUUUAUGUAGGUACGGAGAGAGAAUGAGAGUUCUUUUUUCACAUUUUAAAUACAAAACACACCAGCUGCUACCCCAGCUAUUCACUAGAGAAAGGAAGAAUAACUAAAUUUCUGCAGCAAUGUGUAGAACUAAAUUUAUUGAAAUCCCAGUGAAAGCUUUUGUUGUGUUUGGUAUAAUAGGGAAAAUUCCAUAAGAUAUCUUAGAUUGCAUUUUCUUCGUGGUAAUCUUCAUAGUCCUAGCACUCCCUGGUCAGUCUGUAAACAUGCUUCAUUCAUUUAGAAUGAGAACUCAUACCUCAGAAGCCAGCCAGGUUUGGAGAUUACAAGACAUUUUAUUUCAAAUAACCUGAGUACUUCUAGUUGUAAACACUGAAUCCACUGAAUCUGGUUCAGAGAGGUUGGAGCUUGGUGACCCCCAUUAGUUAUUUUUCUCAAACACAGAAGGAAUGGAUUUGUAUUGUAAAGUGGGUGACUUUAGUGAACUGGUGCCAGCCUUUCUUAUAUCUGUUUCUGAGCCUUUUGCUCUAGUUAUAUUUCUGGUUUCAUUUCAAGCACUUUUUUAACAUUCAUCUUUCACUUAUUACAAGAAGUUAAUUUAUGUUCUCAGGAUGACUCAUUUCCUUUCAGAGAUCUUCCUCUGUUCACCUAGCUUGUGUUUUCUAUAAGAAGACACAAUCAGAUGUUUUUGUUCCUCUUAAGAAAUCCCUGACAGGCCCACAACACUGGCUACUGCUGUAGCUGUACAUUUCUAUACAUAAUUGAUGACUUGGGGCCCAGCACACAGCACCAGUGCACAAGCCACAUAGGUUACCAUACAGGGAGGGGUUUUAGGUCUUUGGAUUUUCCAUUUCUGAAUAGAACUAACUCCCUGCUAAAUAAGAGAAAUUCCGGAAGGAGUAAGUUUACCCUAAUAAUAAACAUUCUUUAGAGAACAAAGCAAUUUGCCAGCAAUAGAAGAUUUAGACAGUCUUAAGAUCCUAACUUUAUUACCCCAUCCAACGAUUUCUCAACUUAGCAGCACUGGUCAUGUUUGGUUUUGCUGACAUUUUGGUCAGCAAAUCAAAGAAACAUAAAAGAU
rnacentral:lncRNA from 1 species